UCCUCAGCGGCGUAGUGGUAGCACGCGUCCUCUGCAUGGGCGGAACACAGGUUCGAUUCCCGUCUGAGGUC